GUGGGGAAUAUUGGACAAUGGGCGAAAGCCUGAUCCAGCCAUGCCGCGUGUGUGAAGAAGGUCUUCGGAUUGUAAAGCACUUUAAGUUGGGAGGAAGGGCAGUAAGUUAAUACCUUGCUGUUUUGACGUUACCGACAGAAUAAGCACCGGCUAACUUCGUGCCAGCAGCCGCGGUAAUACGAAGGGUGCAAGCGUUAAUCGGAAUUACUGGGCGUAAAGCGAGCGUAGGUGGUUUUGUAAGUUGGAGGUGAAAUCCCCGGGCUCAACCUGGGAACUGCCUCCAAAACUGCAUGACUAGAGUACGGUAGAGGGUAGUGGAAUUUCCUGUGUAGCGGUGAAAUGCGUAGAUAUAGGAAGGAACACCAGUGGCGAAGGCGACUACCUGGACUGAUACUGACACUGAGGUGCGAAAGCGUGGGGAGCAAACAGGAUUAGAUACCCGGGUAGUCC
rnacentral:rRNA from 1 species